rnacentral:lncRNA from 1 species
AUGCAAUGAAGCACUUCAAAAACUUAAAAAGAAGUAUGAUGUUGUUGUCAAUGUACAAGGGGAUGAACCACUCGUUGAACCUGAAAUUCUUGAUGGGAUUGUUAAAGCAUUGCAGGUUAAUUUUCUAUAUUGAGAAUAAUUCCAUUUUUAUGAACUAUCAGAUAGAUCAUUCUUUUGUUCAGCUUAAUAUUUAAAUAUUAUUGUAGAGUAUUGACAUUAAGUUGUCGUUUAAAGGUGUACAAAAAUAGUAGUACCAGGAUGAACUUAUUUUCCUCCCUUUUUCGCAUCGUAAGUUGCUUACCUUUCAGUUUAUAUUAUAUUGUUUAGGCUGCUCCUGCUGCAGUUGUUAGCACUGCUGUGACAGCCUUAGCACCCAAAGAUGCUUUUGAUCUGAAUCGUGUGAAAUGUGUGGUGGAUAUCACUUAUCAGUGGUUAUGCAAGUUAAUUGUCACGAGGAUUGAUUCUUUAUAACAAGUCAGUAUAUUUGCUUUGUUACACCUGGCACUCUGUGACUUUAGAUUAACCUAUUUUGUUCUCUAAUGUCUUGCUGAAUGUAUUUAGCUUUUGGAUGUAGGUCAGGGAAAGGCACUNNNNNNNNNNNNNNNNNNNNNNNNNNNNNNNNNNNNNNNNNNNNNNNNNNNNNNNNNNNNNNNNNNNNNNNNNNNNNNNNNNNNNNNNNNNNNNNNNNNNNNNNNNNNNNNNNNNNNNNNNNNNNNNNNNNNNNNNNNNNNNNNNNNNNNNNNNNNNNNNNNNNNNNNNNNNNNNNNNNNNNNNNNNNNNNNNNNNNNNNNNNNNNNNNNNNNNNNNNNNNNNNNNNNNNNNNNNNNNNNNNNNNNNNNNNNNNNNNNNNNNNNNNNNNNNNNNNNNNNNNNNNNNNNNNNNNNNNNNNNNNNNNNNNNNNNNNNNNNNNNNNNNNNNNNNNNNNNNNNNNNNNNNNNNNNNNNNNNNNNNNNNNNNNNNNNNNNNNNNNNNNNNNNNNNNNNNNNNNNNNNNNNNNNNNNNNNNNNNNNNNNNNNNNNNNNNNNNNNNNNNNNNNNNNNNNNNNNNNNNNNNNNNNNNNNNNNNNNNNNNNNNNNNNNNNNNNNNNNNNNNNNNNNNNNNNNNNNNNNNNNNNNNNNNNNNNNNNNNNNNNNNNNNNNNNNNNNNNNNNNNNNNNNNNNNNNNNNNNNNNNNNNNNNNNNNNNNNNNNNNNNNNNNNNNNNNNNNNNNNNNNNNNNNNNNNNNNNNNNNNNNNNNNNNNNNNNNNNNNNNNNNNNNNNNNNNNNNNNNNNNNNNNNNNNNNNNNNNNNNNNNNNNNNNNNNNNNNNNNNNNNNNNNNNNNNNNNNNNNNNNNNNNNNNNNNNNNNNNNNNNNNNNNNNNNNNNNNNNNNNNNNNNNNNNNNNNNNNNNNNNNNNNNNNNNNNNNNNNNNNNNNNNNNNNNNNNNNNNNNNNNNNNNNNNNNNNNNNNNNNNNNNNNNNNNNNNNNNNNNNNNNNNNNNNNNNNNNNNNNNNNNNNNNNNNNNNNNNNNNNNNNNNNNNNNNNNNNNNNNNNNNNNNNNNNNNNNNNNNNNNNNNNNNNNNNNNNNNNNNNNNNNNNNNNNNNNNNNNNNNNNNNNNNNNNNNNNNNNNNNNNNNNNNNNNNNNNNNNNNNNNNNNNNNNNNNNNNNNNNNNNNNNNNNNNNNNNNNNNNNNNNNNNNNNNNNNNNNNNNNNNNNNNNNNNNNNNNNNNNNNNNNNNNNNNNNNNNNNNNNNNNNNNNNNNNNNNNNNNNNNNNNNNNNNNNNNNNNNNNNNNNNNNNNNNAUUCCAUUUUUAUGAACUAUCAGAUAGAUCAUUCUUUUGUUCAGCUUAAUAUUUAAAUAUUAUUGUAGAGUAUUGACAUUAAGUUGUCGUUUAAAGGUGUACAAAAAUAGUAGUACCAGGAUGAACUUAUUUUCCUCCCUUUUUCGCAUCGUAAGUUGCUUACCUUUCAGUUUAUAUUAUAUUGUUUAGGCUGCUCCUGCUGCAGUUGUUAGCACUGCUGUGACAGCCUUAGCACCCAAAGAUGCUUUUGAUCUGAAUCGUGUGAAAUGUGUGGUGGAUAUCACUUAUCAGUGGUUAUGCAAGUUAAUUGUCACGAGGAUUGAUUCUUUAUAACAAGUCAGUAUAUUUGCUUUGUUACACCUGGCACUCUGUGACUUUAGAUUAACCAUUUUGUUCUCUAAUGUCUUGCUGAAUGUAUUUAGCUUUUGGAUGUAGGUCAGGGAAAGGCACUCCAAAAUUUCCAUACACGCUUCACCAUGGAAUUCAGGUACUUCGUCUCUGUAUUGAUGCAGUAAUGCUAAGUUUUCAAUCUUGUACAAAGUUUAGAUACAAAGUUCCUCAAAUUAUAUUCAGAGCUCCUGCCGAACCCUCUGCAACUAGAUGAAGAUCUGGAACAAUAAAAAAUCCUGGAGAAUGGAUACAAGAUGAAGGUGUGUUUCUAAUUGGGAUACAUCCAUUUUCUCGAUAUUGUUAUAUUAUAUCCCUACUGUUUUAUGUUUCACCAAGAAUCUGAUGGCGGUUGCCGCCAUCAGAUUUUUGGUGAAGCAUCAUCUAUGAUGUACGUCACUAGAGGUAUGUGCCAAGUUGAAGCUUUAGAUCAGAUGAUCUGGAUUGUGUCACAUUGCCUACUUUUCACUUUCCGCAUUGUUUGCAGCUGCAGUGUACAUUAAGAUGAAGAAACCAAAUACUGCUAUAAGCGAUGCCAAUACUGCUUUAGAGGUAGUUCUUAGUUUCCUAAAUGUGCUCACAUUGUAAUUUUAUAUGGUCAAUAUUAAUACUAAAAGCAUAUUUUUCUCUCAAUGCAAUUUGUUAAUGAAGUUUCCCCCUACAGACUGGUCAGCAUGCAUGAUAUACAUAGUUUACAAAUUUCCGGUAUUAAAUUUAUUUGCUUUGUGUUUAAUUGUUUCAGAAUAUUGUAUGUGGUUAUGCGAGAGUUAUUGGAGCUUUUUGUUUUUGUAUCGAGUUUUUGGAGGAUAAACUAAUUAAACAGUGUAAUGUUUUUGUGAUAUAUAUGUGUAGUUUUAAGAGAGUUUGUGUGUGUAUGCUUAACUUAUGUAUACGGCAAAAACGUAUAAAAGACCUGUGUUGUAGUGUCGUCAUGGAGAACAGCGGGGAAAUUUCAGGUCAAAUAGUAUAAUGACAUUAUUUGGGAUAUGAAAUUUACUGGAAGUUUAAAUUCUGGUGGUUAACGGGGGAGUAUUUAAAAACUGUAAGCGGAAUAAAGAGAUUUGUAUGGUCAGUGUUAUUCAACCUAUACAUCGUCAUUUAUAAUAGUUAGUUUGAGUUGGUUGGAAGUUCUUUGGUCAGCAUCAAUGCAGAUAGAAAUCUUAGCAUAUUGUUUUGUUUCAGAAGUUUUAGGUUGGCUUAGCAAUUCAUACCCUCAGUUCUCUUUUACUAAAAGUAAACAGGGCUUUAUCUGUCUCUUGCACACAAAUCACAGACAAACAAAAUUAUACUAUAAUCUUAAGUUCACUUUUGUUGGCUAAUUUUGCUAAAAAUUUCCAGUUUUGCCAGUGGUUUGGUUUCCGCAGCAGAGAAGGUUCCCAAGGAGGGUUGGACAAUGCAGGAUGGAAUUCCAUGACCAUAAAACAACGUGCAUGAUCAUCUUGCAAUGAUCCAGGUGAAGUUUAUGUUAAUCUUUAUAUUAAUCUUAUAAUAUGGUAACGUAAAGCCCAUUUUGUCACAACCAAUCCAUACAUCAUCCAAUACCAACAAUAUAGGACUUGGUCCUUUUUGCUUCAGCGAGAACUCCAUGUAGGGAACACUUGAUCAUUUUCCAGAAAAGUAAGUUACCAAUUUAGAUGCAAUUUAAGUAUCAAUGUUUAUCCUUUCAUUGCAUCAUUGUUAAUAUGACGGGUCCAAUGCUGUUGUACUAAAAGAAAGUGAAAUGUAUACUACCGAGUUAAUAGCGAGCUUAUUACAAGUUCAUAUGUUGUUUUUCCAUUUCAGAUGAAAGGUGUUCUGAAUAUUUAAUUCAGAUAACUUAAUGAAGAAGAGGGCACAUAUUUUGAGCCCUUAUUUUACUUUUCAGAUUUUUGUGAAAAGAAUUAAAAAAAAAUGAUAUUUAUAAUAAUAAAAUUAUGAUAUCAAAUACGGGAAUUAAGACAUUCAUCAAAGUUAAACUUGCAGAAUUUUGAUGUUAUAUAUAUUGAUUCUGUAUGAAAUAAUGAAAGUAAUUGAUUGUCUCCGCCACCAUUCACAUUAAUCCCGUUAGUAGAUGUCCCGGGUGGUGCAGGAGUAUAAUUUUGAUAGCAAGGUCUUUUAAGACGUGACCAGGGAUAAAUGCAUGUAAAUUUAAUUUUGGUACUAAAUUUUAUACUAUCAUAAUUCAUUUUUUUCCAGAAAUUUUGGUACAUAAACAAUUUAGAGGGACAUCCCACAAAAAAGAGUAAAAAUGAAGAAAGACGAAAUAAAAUGUUACAAAAAAGAGUAAAAAUGAAGAAAGACGAAAUAAAAUUUAUUGAGGCCAAAUUAAUGUAAGUAAUGUAAUAUAAUUAAAUCAGUAGAACAAGGAGCUCACUUGGCGUACUAUUAUUUUCUUUAUGUCUACUUCUAAAUCCAUAAAUUUAGUUUUUAAAAUUUAAACAAAUAAGGUGUCUCAAAAAUAUAUUACCAACAUGAUAAAAUAUAGCAAAAUUUUAAUUUCUCUAAAUUUAAAUUUUUUAAAUAAUCCUUAUCAUGUCCAUGCUUAGCGGGCAACUAUUACUAAUAAUAAUUUUUUUUUAAAUAUAGUCGAAAAUCAAUAAAUCUAAAUCUAGUCAAAACAUAAAAUAGGGGACUUUAAUAUUAACUUGACUUUUCACUUUCCAUUACAAAACUCAUUCCAUCUAUAUAUUUUGUCACAAACCGAGCACUAAACUGAAGUCAAGAGAAACUAUCAACUGCUUGUUCCUAGGGACCAGGCCACCAGCCACCAGGGAAUGUUUACAGGCGCUUGCAUUGCGUUGGCAGUUGCAUCAUACGUGAUACGACCUUCUAUAACAAAAAUUAUUAUAUAUUAUACAAAUAAAAAAUUAUAAAUAUUAUAUCAUUUUAAAUCAUUAUAAAUAAAAUAUAUAAUUUUAUUUUGAUAAUAGCUAAUGUUGAAUUUUGUAACACGGCCACUCCAUAGCUUCGACAUAUAUAACCAUGCUAAAUUUUUUUAGACGUGAUUGGAACGAAGAGUUUUUUAAAUAUUAUCUAUAAUUUUAAUUUGUGAUAAAAUUUAUUCAAUUUUAUCUAAGAUUUUUAGAAAAUGGGAAAAUAGAGACAAAAUAAACAUGUUACAUGAUUAAAAUAAUUCUUCACAAAGUUAAUAUUUAAUAAGUCGCUUGAAUUUACAAAAUGAAAAAUUUAGUAUAAAAUGACUUAUACUUGUAUUUAAAAAUAAAUUUAAAUUUUCGUAGCAAAUAAUGAGAGAGUACUUUUUAUGUUAAACGUGUUUUAUAAAAUUAUGAAUGUUAUAAAAACAAUUUUACGUGUUUUCUAAUUUUUUUUCAAAUUACUCCUUAUAAAAAAAUAUUGAAAUAACUCUUGAAUAUCAUUUAUGAUUAUCAAUGACGGAUAAUCUAGUGUUGUAGCGUCCUAUUAUGCUAAACCCAGUUAGAAUAGUAUACGAAAUAUCAUUCUCUUCUAUUAAUCCCAACAGGAUGCUAUACUAACUUUCUGUUUUUUUAACCCAUCGUGUGGCAUCUAGUUCUUCUACCUAACACUACAUGAUAUAGCGUCAAAAAAUUAAUUAAAGAACGUUUUUGCACGUUAGGAAAUUUGAGACAAUAAUAUUUUAAAUUAUGAUAAUGAAAGCCAACAAUUGAGUUUUGGCGGAUUUUAACACAUCUUUUGUUAAAAUCUCGUAGAUUUUCGAGAGAUUUCCAAAAUUGUAAAAUACACUAGUAAAUCCAUUAGAGUUCACUAUUAUAAAAUUAAAAAAAAUUCGUUUUUUAAACAUCAUCAAUUUUAAAAUAAUUAAAAUUCUAAUAUGAUAUCUCAAGAUUUUAGAAGAUUGUUUCUUAUCUUUGUCCAAUAUCAUAGUAUUAUAAUCAACUUUUUCAGUACUAGUUGAAUAAUUAUGGAGAAUUUGUUUGCAUUAGCUAUAUUUUUUAAAGAAAAAUGUAUCGUUUACAAAAUUUCAAUUUUUUUAAAAAGAUUUCCAAAAUUACAAGGGACACUAGUAAAUUCAUCAGAAAUUUUUUAUUAUAAAAUAUUUAGAAAAUAUAUCUUUAUAUCACUGAUUUUUAAAAAUGUUACAAAAAUAUUUAAACUUUUAAUUCAAUAUCUCGAAAUUUCAAAAGAUAAUUUACGAUUUUUAUUAUCAAACUUUUAGGUGGUGUGUUCGACUAAGAUAUAAUGGAUUGUGUUUAAUUUAUGAAUUUUAAUGAAUUGUAUAUGACUUUGAUUUUAUGCGGAUUUUUGAUAAAAUGUCGUAGAGCUGAUGUAGAUUUUUCAAGAUUUAAGCACAAUAUUUUAAAACCUCGUCAAUUUUGUUGGGAUUUCGAAAUUUUUAAGAUAGACUGAAAAAUACCAAAAAAUCAAUCAUUUUAUAAAAUCCAAAAAAUCCAUCAGCAUUUGAAACAAUCCAAUCGAACAACAUCGGAUUUUUAAACAUGAUUCAAUAUUCUGAUUGAAUAUCACUAGAUUUCAUCACAUGAUAUAAAAUCUCAAUUGAAUAUUUCAAGAUUUUAAUAAAUUUUAAAUAAUCUCAAUUAAUACGUUCAAAAUUUGUGAAUGAAAAAAAAUCUUUUAAAAUCUCAAUUGAAUAUAGUGUCUUAUUUGAAUUGAAUAUUCAAUUAAAUCAUCGGAUUUUUAAAGAUAAUUUAAUAUCCUGAUUGAAUAUCUCCAGAUUUCAUCACAUGAUAUAAAAUCUUUGAAUAUCUCAAGAUUUUAAUAAAUUUCAAACAAUCUCAAUUAAUACUCCCUCCGUCCCUUUUUACUUGUCACCUUUGUUAUUGUACUGGUCAAAUUGAUCAAAAUUUGACUGAAAUUUAUUAAUAUUUUAUCAAUUAAAAAAAAUGAAAAAAUAUGUAAUCGGAAAUAGCUUUUAAUCUACUUUAAGAUGUAAUUUUCAAUUUUUUAAAAUAAUAAAAAAGUGACUUAUAAUUUUUGGUCAAAAGUUAAUCAAUUUAAUUAAUAAAUAUAAAAAUACGACACUAAAAAAUACAAUGACUACGUUCAAAUCUCUUAGAAUGAAAAAUAUCUUUUAAAAUCUUCAUUGAAUAUGAAUUGAAUAUUACUUCAUACGAAUUGAAUGCAGCCCACAAUCACAUCACAUAUAUAUAUUUGUAUUAUUUCAAUCGCUGUGUUCUUGUGUCUCCUCUCCUUAAAAAACUAAAAUGGCGAUACAACUUACAGGAUUGCAAACAAGUCACGGCAGAGUCACGGUUCUAGUUUGAUCUAAGAUAUUACAAUUUAGUGUUAAUCGGUAAGAAGUUAUCAAUUAAUCUCUUUAAGUUCGCUGUUUACACCUCUUUGCCUCUUUAUUUUUCCUUCAGGAUUAGGGCUUUUACGAUUCAUAAAAUUGAUUGUUGUAAACUGGGUUCCUAAAUUCAGGUCUUAAAUACAAGGUGGAAGGCUAUAAUCAUUGAUAUUUAUACAUCAUAAUUCAGAAUUGUGCUUCCUCAGAGAUCAACGAUUUACUCCUGAGACUCCUAAGGCUUGAGGUAUGUAUACAUAUUUACUCAAUACUUAACCCUCCGUUAACUGCCUAAUUGUGCUUAAUUGUCAGAGUGUAUUACUUAACUGUUUUGGAGUUAAAAUCUUAUACCCAUGGACUCUGGUUAAAUAUGUUUCAGAUGUGGUGAAACCGAAACACACUCUCCGUUCUUUCUUUAAAAGUGUAUUACAACCUUAUAUAACUGAAGUAGGCACUAAUCAAAGUGAAACUUCUGUGUGUUGGUUGGGGUGAAUGAAAAUGAAAGGAAUGGAAUGAAAUUUGAAUUACAAUUUUGUUGAAUGUUUAAUAAUUUCAUUCCUUUCACUAUUCCAUUCCAAUUAUCCUUAACUAGAGCUCAAACCCUCCACUUUGUGAAGGAAUGUAAUAUUCUUUAUCAUACCUAUUUUCUACCCAAAUCUCAUUUAACAAAAUUUGCAUUCACUCCUUAUUCAAAGGCCUACUAUGACAAGAUGUAUAAAAAUGGAAUAGCAGGGAAUUUAAUAACUACUCCAUAUCGGGAGAAUUCAAUCGUUUAUAUGAAUGAAAAAGGAAAUUCAAUAAAUCCUCCUCCAUGGAAUCAGUUGAAUGAAAGUAUUUACGAUAACAUUGGAAUCCUGACCAUGAAAGAAAUUGAUAAAUUGGUGUUUGAAGAUCUCUUAAAUUGGUGUUUGAAGAUCUUCAAGCCUAGUAGGAUCCUCAUGCAACAAUUUAUCAAUUUCUUCUAUGGUCGGGAUUCCAGUGUCAUCUUAAAUGCUUUCAUUCAAUUGUUUUGUUGGAAGAAGAGUUAUUGAAUUCCUCCUCGUUUCAUUCAUAUACACGUCUGUCUUCUCCCAACUGUUCUGUGAAGUAGUUAUCGAAUUUCUUACUAUUGCAUUCUUAUACAUUUUGUCACAGGACUUAAUCUAGUCUAAUCCACCAACAGUAGCGACAUCGUCGUAAUGAUUAUUGCCUUCAUAGUUCAUUGUUCCUUCAGCACCACAACUAUUAACUUUACCAAGCUUUUUCUUCAGAUGGACAUACAAGUAGUUUUUAAUGUCAUAAUGAGUUCUACCAGGCAGGUGUGCAGCAAUGGCAGCUUAUCUAAACAUACACGAAAUCUAUUUAGAGUCCUCCCUCCUACCCCCUAUUAUUUCCUUUUAUUUUCACACAUUCCAUUCACCCCCUACCAAACACAACAUUGAAUCCUUUGUAGCGUAUUGUUGAGCCUGUUGAACCUAAAUUAAUAUUUUUUAUAGUAAUAGUUUUAGAAUAAUGAAUACAUCUAAAUAAGUUUUCAAAUAUCUCUUUUAGCAAUUAGCGACUUUAUGUAUACAUAUUUACUCAAUACUUAACCCUCCGUUAACUGCCUAAUUGUGCUUAAUUGUCAGAGUGUAUCACUUAACUGUUUUGGAGUUAAAAUCUUAUACCCAUGGACUCUGAUUAAAUAUGUUUCAGAUGUGGUGAAACCGAAACACACUCUCUGUUCUUUCUUUAAAAGUGUAUUAGAACCUUAUAUAACUGAAAGGCACUAAUCAAAGUGAAACUUCUGUGUGUUGGUUGGUGUGAAUGAAAAUGAAAGGAAUGGAAUGAAAUUUGAAUUACAAAUUUGUUGAAUGUUUAAUAAUUUCAUUCAUUUGACUAUUCCAUUCUUAUUAUCCUUAACUAGAGCUCAAACCCUCCACUUUGUGAAGGAAUGUAAUAUUCCUUAUUAUACCUAUUUUCUACCCAAAUCUCAUUUAACAAAAUUUGCAUUUACUCCUUAUUCAAAGUCCUCCCUCCUACCCCCUAUUAUUUCCUUUUAUUUUCAUUCAUUCCAUUCACCCCCUACCAAACACAACAUUGAAUCCUUUCUAGCGUAUUUGAGAUUGUAUCAUUAAACACAUAGGCCAAUACAUUAUUCUUUUAAUUGUCCUAUUUAAAAGACCAAGACAAAUGAGUAAAUAAAAAUGCUGUUACCGGUUGCCAUUGAGAGUUUGAUGGCGGAUAAUUAUCUUAUCUUCCUCGGGGGUAAAAUUUCACCGAUAUCAGGGUUAAGAUGAUUCACCUACCUUAAUCUACAACUCUUACCAUUCCUAUGCAACCCUGUUAAAUCACAAAACUAAUCAGGAUAUAUAACCAAAUACAAACUCGCUAAAAUGAGACAUAAAUUAAUAACACAGUUUAACAAAAAAAAAGUACAUAUAUACCAGCAAGUUUAGGAAGGGUUGUCUAAUUGCAUGUAUCAUGUUUUUGGACGUAAGAUACCAACUUACUAUCUUCUUCAGAAGUCCAUGCUUCUUUCGUUUUUGCUUUUAUUUUCUCAGCCGACCUCCUUAUCUCUCUUUCUCUUUAUCAUUGACUAUAUAUAUGUAAGAGAUAAUGAGGUCAGAGAAUGAAAGAGACAAAGGAGCAUGGACUUUUGAACAAGAUAGCAAGUUGGUGUCUUAAGUCCAAAAACAUGGUACAUGCAAUUGGACAUUCGUUCCUAAAAGUAGUGGUAUAUAACUGUUUUUUUGCUAUAAUGUGCUAUUAAUUUAUGUCUCAUUUCGGAUGAGUUUGUAUUUGGUUACAUAUCCUGAUUAGUUUCAUAAUUUAUUAGCGUUGCAUAGGAAUGGUAACAGCUGUAGAUUAAAGUGGAUGAAUCAUCUCAACCCUGAUUUGAAAGGGGAAAUUUUACUACUAACGAAGAUCAGAUAAUUAUCCGUCAUCAAGCUCUUAAUGGCAACCGGUACUGGCUCUUUUAUUUAUUCAUUUCUCUUGGCCUCUUAUAUAGGACAAUGAAAAUAAGAAUUUAUUAGCGUACGUGUUUAAUAUACAAUCUUAAAGCCGCUUAUUCGUAAAAGCAAUUGCCUUCUCCUGAUUAUUCUGUUGAGUAGUUAUCGAAUUCACUACUAUUACAUUCUUACACAUCUUGUCAUAGUAGGCCUUUAUGUAGUCUAAUCCACCAAUAGUAGCAACAUCGUCAUAAUGUUUAUAGUCUUCAAAAUUCUGUUUUCCUUCAACACCACGACUGUUAACUUUACCAAGCUUCUUCUUCAGAUGGACAUGCCAGUAGUUUUUAAUGUCAUUAUCCGUCCUACCAGGCAUGUGUGCUGCAAUGGCAGCCCAUCUACACUUACACGAAAUUUAAAUAAAAUUUAAAGUGUCAAAUGCAUUAACAUAGUAACAUAAAUAUUAUUAAAGAACAAAACAUUUCAAUUGAAAUCCUUAACUGAUAUUUUUUAUAGCAAUACUUUUAGAGUAGUUAAUACUUGUAAAUAGUAAUAAAAUCUUGUUUGACAUUUUUAUUAGCGGUUUUGAGAUUGUAUCAUUAGACACAUAGGCCAAUACAUUAUUCUUUUAAUAGUCCUAUUUAAAAGACCAAGACAAAUGAGUAAAUAAAAGUGCUGUUACCGGUUGCCAUUGAGAGUUUGAUGACGGACAAUAUCUUAUCUUCCUCGGGGGUAAAAUAUCACCGAUAUCAGGGCUAAGAUGAUUCACCUACCUUAGUCUACAACUCUUACCAUUCCUAUGCAACCCUGUUAAAUUACAAAACUAAUCUGGAUAUAUAACCAAAUACAAACCCGCUAAAAUGAGACAUAAAUUAAUAGCACAGUUUAACAAAAAAGGAGUCCAUAUAUACCAGCAAGUUUAGGAAGGUUUGUGUAAUUGCAUGUAUCAUGUUUUUGGACGUAAGAUACCAACUUACUAUCUUCUUCAGAAUUCCAUGCUCCUUUUGUUUUUUCUUAUAUUUUCUCAGCCGACCUCCUUAUCUCUGACUAUAUAUAUGUAAGAGAUAUUAAAGAAUUGUUUAAAUGAGUUGCAUACAGAGUUGAUAUUUAUAGAUAUAAACCAACUAUUUAUACUUAUUCGUAAAAAAGUAAAUAUUUUUUUGCCCCGGGCGCAAAUAUUAUUUAAUAAUUCCGGAUUUUUAUUCCUUCGCCCAGACACAUUAAAACAAUAUUAUAUUCAAAUUUAUUGAUUUUUCUAGUACAAACUAAAGUUUUUCUCUUGUCAGACGAACAUACUCGAAUGGUACAUUACUCGUACAAGAAUAUACUCCAUAGAGAGGAAUUACUUUCUCGUACAAGAAUAUAUUCUGUAAAGAGGAAUUUCUUUCAUUCAAGAAUCUCUCGAGUAUGUACACUUGACAAGAAAAAACCUUGGUUAGUAAUAGAAAAAUCAAUUAAUUUGAAUAUAAUAUUGUUUCCAUGUGUCUAGGGCCAAGGAAUAAAAAUUCAUAAAUAUUAAAUAAUAUAUGGGCCCGAGGGAAAAGAAUCUUUACUUUUGUAAGAAUAGGUGAAAUAGUUGGUUUAUAUAUGUAAAUACCAACUCAAUGUGCAACUCAUUUUUGUAGUUUUUUCAUAUCUCUUGCAUAUGUAUAGUCGAAGAAAGAGAGAUAAUGAGGUCAGCUGAGAGAAUGAAAGAGGCAAAUGAGCAUGGACUUUUGAAGAAGAUAGCAAGUUGGGGUCUUAAGUCCAAGAACAUGGUACAUGCAAUUGGACAGUCCUUCCUGAAAUUGCUGGUAUAUAACUUCUUCUUUUUUUUUGCGAUAAUGUGCUAUUAAUUCAUGUCUCAUUUCGGAUAAGUUUGUAUUUGGCUACAUAUCCUAAUUAGUUUUCUAAUUUAUUAGGGUUGCAGAGGAAUGGUAACAGCUGUAGAGUAAGGUGGAUGAAUCAUCUUAGCCCCGAUUUGAAAGGGGAAAUUUUACUACUGACGAAAGUCAUGUAAUUAUCCGUCAUCAAGCUCUCAAUGGCAACCGGUACUGGCUCUUUUAUUUACUCAUUUCUCUUGGCCUCUUACAUAGGACAAUGAAAAGAAGAAUUUAUUAGCGUACGUGUUUAAUAUACAAUCUUAAAGCUGCUAAUUCGUAAAAACAAUUGCUUUCUCCUGAUUAUUCUCUUGAGUAGUUAUCGAAUUCACUACUAUUACAUUCUUGCACAUCUUGUCAUAGUAGGCCUUUAUGUAGUCUAAUCCACCAAUAGUAGCAACAUCGUCAUAAUGUUUAGUCUUCAAAAUUCUGUUUUCCUUCAACACCACAAAUGUUAUCUAUACCAAGCUUCUUCUUCAGAUGGACAUGCCAGUAGUUUUUAAUGUCAUUAUCCGUCCUCCCAGGCACGUGUGCUGCAAUGGCAGCCCAUCUACACAUACACGAAAUUUAAAGUGUCAAAUGCAUUAACAUAAUAACAUAAAUUUAAUUAAAGAACAAAACAUUUCAAUUGAAAUCCUUAGAGCAUUUCCGAUGUGCUCUUUAAACAAGCUCUUAACUUUAAAUUUAAAGAGCAAGCCAAGAAUUAGAGCUUCAAUGGGCUCUUAGAGCAUCUCCAAUAGUCUCUUAGUUAGCUCCUAUAUAUAAUGUAAAAUAUUAAGCUCCCAGGAGGUUAAUACAUUACUAAGAGUUUGAACUCCAAUAAUGCUCUCUAUACACACUCCUAACACUAUAUUUUAUUAUUAUUUAAACUCCACUAUGACAAAAGUUCAAAGUCACAUGGGUGAGAGUGAAUAUUAAAUUAUAAAAAACAAGUUAAGAGCCAUGUAGUGGCUCUUAAAAAAGAGGAGAGAGAAGGGGCUCCUAGUAUUUUUAGGAGCCACUAAGAGCCUAUUGGAGCUCCAUUUUUUCUUAUCCUCUUUAUUUUUGAUUUUAAGAGCCAAUUUAAGAGGCUAUUGGAGAUGCUCUUAGAAACUCUUUAAAAAUUUAAGAGUGUACUCUCUCUCCUUUCUUUUAAAUAGCAUCUAGUAGCUCUUAACUCAAUAUAAUAUUAAUUUCCCUCCAAUCUUCUCUUUCUUUUGGUUGACUUUUUCCUCUCAUUUAUAUAAUAUAUAUAAAUGAAAGGAAUGGAAUGAAAUUUGAAUGACAAUUUUGUUUAACGUUUAAUAAUUUCAUUCCUUUCACUAUUCCAUUCCUAUCACCCUUAACUAGAGCUCAGACCCUCCACUUUGUGAAAGAAUGUAAUAAAAUUUGCAUUCACUCCUUAUUCAAAGUCCUCCCUCCUACCCCCUAUUAUUUCCUUUUAUUUUCACUCAUUCCAUUCACCCCCUACCAAACACAACAUUGAAUCCUUUCUAGCCUAUUGUUGAGCCCGUUGAAUCCCAACUAACAUUGUUUAUAGUAAUAGUUUUAGAAUAAUGAAUACAUCUAAAUAAGUUUUCAAAUAUCUUGUUUAGCAAUUAGCGACUUUAUGAUACUGUCAUUAGAUAGGGAGAUAAAUUCUUUCUUUGAUUUCUUGUUUAAAAGACCUAGAGAAAUAAGUCAACUACUAAUUUAUUUUUAUGGAUUUUUAUCCCUUGACCCCAGAUACUAUUUAAUUUCUACACCUAACGCCUCUUGUUCGUAAGUCACAGUGAUAGUUUAACCUCUUUUUCUCAUCAUUCACUCUGACAAAGAUAUCAAACACUAAACCUAGGCACGUGGAAGCUGAACCCAUGCCCAUCUUUGUUAUCUCUUCUUGAUAUGUUGCUAUAGAUUCAAAGGUCAUUGUCACAACUUGCAAGGUGCCCAAAGGCUCAAACUAUAGUCCUUUGUUCAACCCAUGUCAUUCUUCCACUUAUAAGCUCUAUCAACUUCUGAUUCGAAAGCUUUCUCAACAAACUCAACCUUGUUCAUGGUUUAAGAACCAAUGAUAUGAGCUUCAUACUAUGGUAUGUAUAUAUUUUGACCAGUGAGAAGCGAAGCUCUAUCAUUAAUGCCUCUAGAUAUUAAAUUGACCAUGCACUUAAAAGUAGCAGGAGAUGCGAAGUCUGGAUCAUUUGGAUGAUUAUUAAUGCCUGAGAGUUGAUUUACUUCCACAGUUCCGCUCAUUAAAGAUCCAGAAAGAAGGCAUAUGAUUAAAGCUACGGGCAGACCCAUCUGAAGAAGAAGCUUGGUAAGGUGAAGGAACAAAGAACCAUGAAGGCUAUAAACAUUACAGCGAUGCCGUUACUGUUGCGGGAUCAGACUACAUAAAGGCCUACUAUGACAAGAUGUAUAAAAAUGGAAUAGCAGGGAAUUUAAUAACUACUCCAUAUCGGGAGAAGGCAAUCGUUUAUAUGAAUGAAACAGGAAAUUCAAUAAAUCCUCCUCCAUGGAAUCAAUUGAAUGAAAGUAUUUACGAUAACAUUGGAAUCCUGACCAUGAAAGAAAUUGAUAAAUUGGUGUUUGAAGAUCUCGUAAAAGGAUCUUCAAGCCUAGUAGGAUCCUCAUGCAACAAUUUAUCAAUUUCUUCUAUGGUCGGGAUUCCAGUGUCAUCCUAAAUGCUUUCAUUCAACUGUUUUUGUGGAAGAAGAGUUAUUGAAUUCCUCCUCGUUUCAUUCAUAUACACGUGUGUCUUCUCCCAACUGUUCUGUGAAGUAGUUAUCGAAUUUCCUGCUAUUGCAUUCUUACACAUUUUGUCACAGGACUUAAUCUAGUCUAAUCCACCAACAGUAGCGACAUCGUCGUAAUGAUUAUUGCCUUCAUAGUUCAUUGUUCCUUCAGCACCGCAACUAUUAACUUUACCAAGCUUUUUCUUCAGAUGUACAUGCAAGUAGUUUUAAAGUCAUCAUGAGUUUUACCAUGCAGGUGUGCAGCAAUGGCAGCUCAUCUAAACAUACACGAAAUCUAUUUAAAUUUAAAACCGUUAAAUCUAUUAUUACAGUAUCACACAUUAAAAUGAAGAACAACGCAUUUGAACCGAAAUCCUUUAGUAAUAUUGUUUAUAGUAAUAGUUUUAGGAUAGUUAAUACUUCUAAUUAAGUAUUAAAGUCUUAUUUGACAUUUUAAUUAGCGGUUUUGAAAUUGUGUCAUUAAACAAGUAAGCCAAUAAAUUCUUCUUUAAAUUGUUCUAAUUAAAAGGCCAAGAUAAAUGAAUAAAUAAGUGCUGGUACCGGUUGCCAGUGUGAGUCUGAUGGCAGAUAAUUAUCAUAUCUUCCUCAGGAGUAAAAUUUCCGUGUUUAAUACUAGGGCUACGAUGAUUCACCCACCUCAGUCUACAACUCUAACCAUUAAUCUUUAGUCUUAGUAAUUACAGAACAAGUAUUAUUUCUAUUUUUAUAGGUAAAUGCUCGUUCAGUUAUUGCCUGAUGUAGUUCCCUAAUGUGGUGGAUAACAGUGGUUAUGCAAUUUAGUUUUCACGAGGAUUGAUUCCCUAUUACAAGUCAGUAAGUAUAUUUGCUUUGUUACACCUCGGACUCUGACUUCGGGUUAGCCUUUUUGUAAAGUUUUGCUGAAUGUAUUUACCUUUUGGAUGUAGGUCAGGGAAAGGCACUCCAAAAUUUCCGUACAUGCUUGACCUUGGAAUUCAGGUACUUCAAUAUUCUUGUUAUGUAUUACUAGGCAGUGUCUGUAUUGAUGCAGUAAUGCUAAGUUUUUAAUCUUUUACAGAGUUUUGAUACAAAGUUCCUCAAAAUAUAAUCAGAGCUCCCGCCCACCCCGCUGCAACUAGAAGAAAAUUUGAAACAAUUAAAAGUCCUGGAGAAUGGAUACAAGAUGAAGGUGGGUUUCUAAUUAGGAUACAUCCAUUUUCCAAAUAUCUUCAUAUUAUAUCCCUACUCUUUUGUGUUUCACCAAUAAUCUGAUGGCGGUUGCCGCCGGUGAUAAUCUCCGACGAGGUAAUAGAUUGAGGAGCCGUGUGGUCGGGAUUAUACCCGCCAGGUAAACUUACUCGCGCUUCGAGAGCAAGUCUCUCAUUGAUAUCCCCAACAAGCCCAUGAUCCAGGUACGGCCCACUUGCUAUUUCUACACCUCAAUUAUUACUAUAUUUGUUGUUUAGUUUGACCCUUUGACUUUCUUGUGAUCGUGUAAAUAUAAUGAAUAAUGAUCAUAGUAAUGUCUAAUUUGGAGACUAGAGGUCGAGAGUUUAAGUCUUGUCAUAGUGAGAGUGUUGGAUAUAAUUUAGAAAAUAGAGUUGUAGUUUAGUUUGGUACACAGGCUUCAGACUAAUAGGUGGCCAGUCUACUAUUUGUUUAUAUUUGCGGAAAUGCAGUAAUGUUAACAUACAUUAUGCUUAUUUUAACAAAAUAAUUGUAAAUGCUAGUUUAGUUGUAACUUGUGUGCUUAUUUGUUGUAUUUUUUUAUAUUCGUAUUAGUUAGUUAAGUUACUUUUUUGUAAGUAUUUAUAAUAAGAAAUUAAGUAAUUACAAAUAUUAAAAUUGGGAUAUAAUUAUAUUUUCAAAUUGGUAUACCUAAUGCACAAUAUUUGUUAUUAAUAUUAAGAUAUCUUUUCCAGAAAUGACUAUAAAUAAAUAAUAUAUUCUAAACUAAGAACAAAGGUUUUUUUUAUCAUGUGUAUACAAUUUUGAGACCCUGAGCAAACAGAGACACAGUGCCGAUAAUCAAUUUGCACACCUUAAAAAACGGCACUGGUUCUUAUUAUAAACAAUCAUUAAUCCAUAAUUAAGCAAAAGAACUGGACUUAAUAAAAGGAGCAGAAGGAUCUUCAAGCCUAGGAUAUUCAAGCAGUAAUUUGUCAAUCUAUUCCAUAGAUGGGAUUCUAGCGUCAUCAUAAAUGCUUUCAUUUGACUAAUUCUAUGGAGAAGGAGUUGUCGAAUUCCCCAUUGUUUCAUUCGUAAAAACAAUUGCCUUCUCCUGAUUAUUCUGUUUAGUAGUUAUCGAAUUCACUACUAUUACAUUCUUACACAUCUUGUCAUAGGAGGCCUUUAUGUAGUCUAAUCCACCAAUAGUAGCAACAUCGUCAUAAUGUUUUUAGUCGUCAAAAUUCUGUUUUCCUUCAACACUACAACUGUUAACUAUACCAAGCUUCUUCUUCAGAUGGACAUACCACUAGUUUUUAAUGUCAUUAUCCGUCCUACCAGGCACGUGUGCUGCAAUGGCAGCCCAUCUACACACACACGAAAUUUAAAUAAAAUUUAAAGUGUCAAAUGCAUUAACAUAAUAAUAUAAAUUUAAUUAAAGAACAAAACAUUUCAAAUGAAAUCCUUAACUGAAAUUUUUUAUAGCAAUACUUUUAGAGUAGUUAAUACUUUUAAAAAAGUAAUAAAAUUUUGUUUGACAUUUUUAUUAGCGGUUUUGAGAUUGUAUCAUUAAACACAUAGGCCAAUACAUUAUUCUUUUAAUUGUCCUAUUUGAAAGACCAAGACAAAUGAGUAAAUAAAAGUGCUGUUGCCGGUUGCCAUUGAGAGUUUGAUGACGGAUAAUUGUCUUAUCUUCCUCGGGGGUAAAAUUUCACCGAUAUCAGGGCUAAGAUGAUUCACCUACCUUAGUCUACAACUCUUACCAUUCCUAUGCAACCCUGUUAAAUUACAAAACUAAUCAGGAUAUAUAACCAAAUACAAACUCGCUAAAAUGAGACAUAAAUUAAUAGCACAGUAUAACAAAAAAAAAGUAGAUAUAUACCUAUGCAAGUUUAGGAAGGGUUGUCUAAUUGCAUGUACCAUGUUUUUGGAUGUAAGACACCAACUUACUAUCUUCUUCAGAAGUCCAUGCUCCUUUCGUUUUUUCUUAUAUUUUCUCAGCCGACCUCCUUAUCUCUCUUUCUUCUUAUCUCCGACUAUAUAUAUGUAAGAGAUAUUAAAAAAUUGUUUAAAUGAGUUGCAUAGUGAAUUGAUAUUUAUAGAUAUAAACCAACUAUUUUUACUUAUUCGUACAAAAGUAAAUAUUUUUUUUGCCCCAGGCGCAAAUAUUAUUUAAUAAUUAUGGAUUUUUAUCCCUUCACCCCAGACAAAUUAAAACAAUAUUAUAUUCAAAUUUAUUGAUUUUUCAAGUACGAACUGAAGUUUUUCUCUUGUCAGAUGAACAUACUCGUAUGGUACAUUACUCGUACAAGAAUAUACUCCAUAAAGAGGAAUUACUUUCUCGUACAAGAAUAUAUUCCAUAAAAAGGAAUUUCUUUCAUUCAAGAAUCUCCCGAGUAUGUACACUUGACAAGAAAAAACCUUGGUUAGUAAUAGAAAAAUCAAUUAAUUUGAAUAUAAUAUUGUUUCCAUGUGUCUAGGGCCAAGGAAUAAAAAUUCAUAAAUAUUAAAUAAUAUAUGGGCCCGAGGGAAAAGAAUCUUUACUUUUGUAAGAAUAGGUGAAAUAGUUGGUUUAUAUAUGUAAAUACCAACUCAAUGUGCAACUCAUUUUUGUAGUUUUUUCAUAUCUCUUGCAUAUGUAUAGUCGAAGAAAGAGAGAUAAUGAGGUCAGCUGAGAGAAUGAAAGAGGCAAAUGAGCAUGGACUUUUGAAGAAGAUAGCAAGUUGGGGUCUUAAGUCCAAGAACAUGGUACAUGCAAUUGGACAGUCCUUCCUGAAAUUGCUGGUAUAUAACUUCUUUUUUUUUGCGAUAAUGUGCUAUUAAUUCAUGUCUCAUUUCGGAUAAGUUUGUAUUUGGCUACAUAUCCUAAUUAGUUUUCUAAUUUAUUAGGGUUGCAGAGGAAUGGUAACAGCUGUAGAGUAAGGUGGAUGAAUCAUCUUAGCCCCGAUUUGAAAGGGGAAAUUUUACUACUGACGAAAGUCAUGUUUAAUAUACAAUCUUAAAGCUGCUAAUUCGUAAAAACAAUUGCUUUCUCCUGAUUAUUCUCUUGAGUAGUUAUCGAAUUCACUACUAUUACAUUCUUGCACAUCUUGUCAUAGUAGGCCUUUAUGUAGUCUAAUCCACCAAUAGUAGCAACAUCGUCAUAAUGUUUAGUCUUCAAAAUUAUGUUUUCCUUCAACACCACAAAUGUUAUCUAUACCAAGCUUCUUCUUCAGAUGGACAUGCCAGUAGUUUUUAAUGUCAUUAUCCGUCCUCCCAGGCACGUGUGCUGCAAUGGCAGCCCAUCUACACAUACACGAAAUUUAAAGUGUCAAAUGCAUUAACAUAAUAACAUAAAUUUAAUUAAAGAACAAAACAUUUCAAUUGAAAUCCUUAGAGCAUUUCCGAUGUGCUCUUUAAACAAGCUCUUAACUUUAAAUUUAAAGAGCAAGCCAAGAAUUAGAGCUUCAAUGGGCUCUUAGAGCAUCUCCAAUAGUCUCUUAGUUAGCUCCUAUAUAUAAUGUAAAAUAUUAAGCUCCCAGGAGGUUAAUACAUUACUAAGAGUUUGAACUCCAAUAAUGCUCUCUAUACACACUCCUAACACUAUAUUUUAUUAUUAUUUAAACUCCACUAUGACAAAAGUUCAAAGUCACAUGGGUGAGAGUGAAUAUUAAAUUAUAAAAAACAAGUUAAGAGCCAUGUAGUGGCUCUUAAAAAAGAGGAGAGAGAAGGGGCUCCUAGUAUUUUUAGGAGCCACUAAGAGCCUAUUGGAGCUCCAUUUUUUCUUAUCCUCUUUAUUUUUGAUUUUAAGAGCCAAUUUAAGAGGCUAUUGGAGAUGCUCUUAGAAACUCUUUAAAAAUUUAAGAGUGUACUCUCUCUCCAUUCUUUUAAAUAGCAUCUAGUAGCUCUUAACUCAAUAUAAUAUUAAUUUCCCUCCAAUCUUCUCUUUCUUUUGGUUGACUUUUUCCUCUCAUUUAUAUAAAAUAUAUAUAUAUAUGUAGAGUCAUGCUCCAUUAAGAACCAAUAUUAGCGUGAGAUAUGAGAUCCAAUCCUAACCACUCAUUUUAUAUCUUAUAUCAAUCUCUCAUCAUACAUUAAUUUUUAAUAUUUAAAUAUUUUAUCACUGUCUUUAUUCUAAUUCCACCACCUGCCACCUCCAACCACUACCGACCACCAUUUCCGGCGACCACCAGAAAAUCACCACCGUCAAACCAAAAAUCACCACCGGAAAACUAAAAAUCACUUCUGGAAAAAUGAAAAUUACCACCAGAAUAUGAAAACUACUACACCCAGCCAUUAUUCAUGCCCACCAGAUCCGGCCACCAACAUCGUUUAUAAACUCCGGUCAUCAACAUCAUGAAAAUAAUCACCAGAUUUUACUGGAAAUCGUAACAAUAAUCGGUACGUACCACCACAUCACCACUAUCACCAUCUACAAACCACCACCACUUUCUACAAAUCCCCCAAAUCUGAAAAAUCACUGAUUACAAAACAAAAUCACUAAAAAGGAACUCCGGCCACCAACAUAAUAACAAUAAUCACCAAAAACGCCAUCAUUCAUCACCGCCAUAAGCAUCUAUACAGACCACCACCAUCUACAAACCCUUCAAAUCAGAAAAAUCACCGAUUACAAAAUAAAAUCACUAAAAGUGAAUAAAAAUGAAUAACCUGCUACUUGAUAAUGCUUGAGGUGUCAGGAAUUAAUUAGGGAGAUUGUAAUCACCAAAUGGAGGUCGGAGAGUCGCCGGAAUGCUCCACCGAUGGACUCUCGUUUGCGAGAACGGGGAAGAGUAGAGGGGAGGCAGAAAGUGACGGGGAGAUAGGGAGGAGAUGAAAGGAGGAUGAGGUUUUGUAUAGUCAAGGAUGUGGAGUGGGGUUGCGAUGUCGCCGGCGGUGACAACACCACCGCGACAUCGGUGGUAGCAGCAAAGAAAGAGGCAGGAGGAAGAAGAGAUUGACGGGAAGGGGAGAAGGGAUUGCUUGCUGUUUGUGUAUGGCCGAGCCCAUCUCAGCAGCGGCGGAGAGAGGGGGUUGAGCCAUUGACGGCGAUGACGGCAACAGGGGGUUGGGGUUUUGAAGAGGUGAGAGAAGACAGUGGGUGAGUAGUGAGGAAGAUGGGUGGAUAAAAGAAUAUUUUAAAAUAGAAAUUGUGUGGUUGCGAUUUAAUUUAGGGGUAAACAUGUGUAGCUGAGAUUAGAUCUCACAUCUCACACUAGUUGGGGUUCUCAUUUGAGCACUUGCAUAUAUAUAUAUAUAUAUAUUAUGUAUUAACUUACUAGGAGCCACAUUUUAUAUUAUUGUUUAAGGAAUGAUUUAGGAGCACCGUUGGAGAUGCUCUUAACUGAUAUUUUUUAUAGUUAAUACUUUUAAAAAAGUAAUAAAAUUUUGUUUGACAUUUUUAUUAGCGGUUUUGAGAUUGUAUCAUUAAACACAUAGGCCAAUACAUUAUUCUUUUAAUUAGCCUAUUUAAAAGAUCAAGACAAAUGGGUAAAUAAAAGUGCUGCUACCGGUUGCUGAAAAAGACUUCAUUAGUUUCUUUACCAAUGUACAUUUUUGGUGUUGGUUGCUUUUCCUGUGAACUUGGAGAAGAAUUACUAUGGCAGUGCACCUCGUGUACACGACUAUUUACAAGCACGGCGCCAACAACUUACCCUUUGGGGGGAUUUACAAUCAUAUGGUGGCCUAAGACUAGAUGGCUUUCUCUUCCCUCAAGUCUUGCUCAAAAUAUUUCAGAUGCCAACUGAAAGUGCUCUGUCUAUGCCUUUUUGAACAACAUUGGUUCAUUUGUUACCUCAUGCCUACAAUCUUUAUCGACCCAGCAACUACGUUCCUCCACAUGUCAGUGGUACGUAUCUUUAUUCAAAUCCUGGUACAGAUUUUUACUCUGCUGCUUGGGAUAUUAUCAUUCCACUAGGAGGUUUGUUGCUUGUUGGAAUCAUAUUUUCGCAGCAAAGAUAUGGUGGCCGAGUUAUCCUUCCUAAGAAAUUCAGGGAGUUGGAAAUGUAUGCAAAAGUGCCAGCAAUUAGUACCUAAUGCUUAAUGAGGAUGUUGCUUAUCUGGUUCAGUAAUUUCUUAAUGUAUGGUUGCUGCAUGUGUGCUUUUUAUUUAUCUCAAAAUGAUGUUUGUUUCUUAAUAUUGGUAAUUUUAUUGCAUUUCCGGCCAUUUCUACAUGACUUUUGUUCGGUUGGUAGACUUUUUGGAAUAAAAUUUUUCUUUUACUUUCUUUGAUCCGCGUAUCCUGAUGUUUCUUUGGGGUAUUUUUUUCCAAACGCUUAGGUUUUAUAUUUAUAUUUUUGUGGGAUAUUUUUGCAUACUCUCUGAUUAGAUAAAAGAUUUUUAUGAAAGAAGUCUACCUUUUUUGAUGUUGUAUUUUGGCAAAAUUCAUUGACGUAAAAAUCUUAUGAAAAAAAUGACAAUAAUAUUUGAUGAAUUGUAGGACAAGGUAUAAGAAAGCUUGAUUUUUAUGGAUUAAUUGAUGUAAAAUCUUAUAGAAUUGACGCGAGUGUAGUCGGAUUUUGGCAUAUUUUUUCUAAACUCUUGUAGAUUUUUGAGAGAUUUUCAAAAUUAUAAAAUACACUAGUAAAACCAUCAAAAUUCACUAUUCUCAGAUAAAGAAAAAUUUCGUCUUUUGUUGAGUAUCAUCAAUUUUUAUGAUAUUUAAAAUUUUAAUUCAAUAUCACGAGAUUUUAAAAAAUUAUUUCUCAUCCUUGUUUAAUAUCACGGGAUUUAAUCAAUUAAUGUUGGUUAAAUAAUUUUGAGAAUAACGUGAAGCAAAUAUAUCGUUCAAAAUAUUGAUUAUAUAUUUUAUAAAAAUCUUAAAGUUUUUUUAGAGAUUUCUAAAAUUAUAACAUAUAUUAAUAAAUCCAUUGGAAUUCUCUACUAUAAAAUCCAAAAAAAGAAAAAACAUCACUUUUUAAGUGGGUGUAUCCGAUUUGGAUUUUAAAUGAUUUUUUUUAAUUCAUCAAAUCUGAGGAUAUUCAAUUAGGAUCUAUUAAAAUUUUGAGAUAUUUAAUUGUGAUUUUCAAUUAUUCUACAAUAUCUUGUACUAUUCAAUAAGUUUAUAUAGAUUCUUCAGAAUUCAAGUACAACACUUUAAAAUCUCAUGAAUUUUGGUGGGAUUUCAAAAAAACUUAAAAUAUAUUGAGAAAUCUUACAAAAUUUAUCAUAAAUUCAAAAAAAAAAUAUCAGCAUUGAAAUAUUAUAAAUUUUAAUGAAUUUUAAACAAUCUUAAUUGGAUACCAUCUAAUUUUAAACAUAAUUUAAAUUUCUGAUUAAAUACCACCAGAUUUUAUAAAAUAAAAUCUUAAUUAAAUAUGCGAAGAUUUUAAACUAUUUAAUUAAAUAUUCUCAGAUUUCAUGAAUGAAAAAAAUCUUUUAAAAUCUCGAAUCUAAUAUAGUUUUGGGUUAAAAUAACUUUUUUUCUCUUUCAGGGAGUUAAAAUAACUAUUGAUAAUAUAUCUGAAUUGAAUAUACCUUGGGGAGGAGUUGAAUAUCUCUUUGUACGGGAGAUAUCUUUCUUGUUCUUAUUUAUUGCCAUUUUACUGUUGUAAUUUUUGAACAUAAUUUAAUAUUCUAAUUGAAUAUCAUCAGAUUUCAUCACAUGAUAUAAAAUCUCAAUUGAAUAUUUCAAUAUUUUAAUAAAUUUUAAAUAAUCACAAUUAAUACUUUCAAAAUUUGUGAAUGAAAAAAUCUUUUAAAAUCUCAAUUGAAUAUAACGUCUUAUUUGAAUUGAAUAUUCAAUUGAAACAUCGGAUUUUUAAACAUAAUUUAAUAUUCUGAUUGAAUAUCACCAUAUUUCAUCACAUGGUAUAAAAUCUUAAUUGAAUAUCUCAAGAUUUUAAUAAAUUUCAAACAAUCUCAAUUAAUACUACCUCCGUCCCUUUUUACUUGUCACCUUUGUUAUUGUGCUGGUCAAAUUGAUUAAAACUUGACUGAAAUUUAUAAAUAUUUUAUCAACUGAAAAAACAAAAAAAAAUAUGUCAUCGAAAAUAAUUUUUAAUCUACACUAAGAUGUAAAGUUCAGUUUUUUAAUAUAAUAAAAAAGUGACUGAUAAUUUUUGGUCAAAAGUUAGUCAAUUUGAUCAAUAAAAAUAAAUAUAAAACAAUUAAAAAGCAAAAUAUCUUUAAAAUCUCGAUUGAAUAUUCCUUCAUACGAAUUGAAUGCAGCUCAAAAUCACAUCACAUAUAUAUAUAUAUUUUGAAUUAUUUCAAUCGCUGUGUUUUUGUGUCUCCUCCUCUUAAAAAAAUAAAAUGGCGAUACAACUUACAGGAUUGCAAACAAGUCACGGCAGAGUCACGGUUGAUAUUACAAAUUAGUGUUAAUCGGUAAGAAGUUAUGAAUUAAUUUCUUUAAGUUCGCUGUUUAAAUCCCUCUUUGCCCCCCCUCCUCUCUCCUUUUCAAGAUUAGGGUUUUUACAAUUCAUAAAAUUGAUUGUUGUAAACUGGGUUCCUGAAUUCAGGUCUUAAAUAGAAGGUGGAAGGUUAAAAUCUGUGAUAUUUAUAUAUCAUAAUUCAGAAUUGUGAUUAACAAUUUACUCCUGAGACUCCUAAGCCUUGAGGUAUGUAUAACUUAUUUACUCGAGUACUUAACCCUCUGUUCCACUGCCUAAUUGUGCUUGAUUGUUAGAGUUUAUUACUUAAUUGCUUUGGAGUUUAAAUCUUAUACCCUUGGACUGUGAAUAAAUGUGUUUCAGAUAUGGUGAAACUGAAACGCAAUCUCGGUUCUUUCUUUAAAAGCUGAUAUGUAAUAAUGACAUCCGAAUCUUGUCGAAAUGGUAAAUGAUAGUCCAUUAUCGUAAUUUUCCACUGGUUUCAGAAUUUCUGUUGCAUAUUAGUAAUUAUUUUGCACUGUUGUCUGUUCCAGGUACUGAGUGAUGUAAUGAAGCACUUCAAAAACUUAAAAAGAAGUAUGAUGUUGUUGUCAAUGUACAAGGGGAUGAACCACUCAUUGAACCUGAAAUUCUUGAUGGGAUUGUUAAAGCAUUGCAGGUUAAUUUGCUAUAUUGAGAAUUAUUCCAUUUUUAUGAACUAUCAGAUAGAUCAUUCUUUUGUUCAGCUUAAUAUUUAAAUAUUAUUGUAGAGUAUUGACAUUAAGUUGUCGUUUAAAGGUGUACAAAAAUAGUAGUACCAGGAUGAACUUAUUUUCC